rnacentral:lncRNA from 1 species
UGAGAGCUCAGGUGAGACUAUCACUUCUGCUCACAUUCCUGGCCCAAGAGGAACCUGCCUAGUACCCUCUGGAUACAGGAACCGAGGAGCAGCCAGGGGCAGGACCCUUCCAGUUUUUCCUGAAACUAAAGCUGAAAGCUAGUUGCCAGGAGCACUGAUAUACCUGAGAGCAGAGGUAAGACCAACUCUUCUGCUCCAAGUGACCCACCUCAAGGCCUCAGGAUACACAAACCCAGGAGCAGCUCUCUGUUCCCAGAUCCAGCUGAAAGAAAGCAGAUCUACCAGAGUGCUGACAUACAGGCUUACAGGAGGGUCAAGGCACUGUCAGAAACAACAAGAUAAGCUAAUACCAGAGAGAACCUGAUGGCGAGAGUCAAGCACAGGAACCUAAGCAACAGAAACCAAGACUACUUGUCAUCAUCAGAGCCUAGCUCUCCCACCAAAGCAAAUAUUGGAUAUCCAACUGCACCAGAAAAACAAGAUUUGGAUUUAAAAUCACAUCCCAUGAUGAAGGUAGAGGACUUUAAGGACAUAAAUAACUCCUUAAAGAAAUACAGGACAACACAGGUAAACAAGCAGAAGCCCUUAAAGAGGAAACACAAAAUCCCUUAAAGAAUUACAGGAAAACACAAGCAAACAGGUGAAGGAAUUAAACAAAGCCAUCCAGAAUUUAAAAAUGGAAAUAGAAACAAAAAAAGAAA